rnacentral:tRNA from 1 species
CAGAGAAUAGUUAAACUUAGAAUCCUAGCUUUGGGAGUUAGGGGUGGGUGUUAGAGUCACCCUUCUCUGA